rnacentral:rRNA from 1 species
CAGUCGCCGCGGUAAUGCGUAGGGUGCGAGCGUUAAUCGGAAUUACUGGGCGUAAAGCGUGCGCAGGCGGUUGUGUAAGACAGGUGUGAAAUCCCCGGGCUUAACCUGGGAACUGCGCUUGUGACUGCACAGCUAGAGUAUGGCAGAGGGGGGUGGAAUUCCACGUGUAGCAGUGAAAUGCGUAGAGAUGUGGAGGAACACCGAUGGCGAAGGCAGCCCCCUGGGCCAAUACUGACGCUCAUGCACGAAAGCGUGGGGAGCAAACAGGAUUAGAUACCCCGGUAGUCCCUGUCUCAUAUAC